rnacentral:lncRNA from 1 species
AAGAAUCUAACAAAAUUAUACGUAUAAAAUGGCUACUGGUGCUCGGUCGGCGGUGGUGGAAACAAUAGCAGAGGAGGAUUAGGAGGCGGUGAAGACAAUGGCAGUGGAGGAUUAGGAGACGGUGGCUCCAGGGGAGGCAUAGGAAGUACUUGUCGUUGUUGCGGAUGCAGAGCAGCCGGAGGCAUAAGACGCGGCGGAAUUACCUGCCAUUGUUGCGAAUGCAGAGAAGCCGAAGGCAUAAAGCGCGGCGGAAUUACCUGCCAUGGUUGUGACGGCAGAGUAACCCGAGGCUGUAAACAAGUCAUAGGACGUGAAGAAAUCACCUGCCAUUGUUGUUGCGGAGGCCCUUGCUCCAUCUUUAAUUUCUUUACUUUUUUUCGGAGACGUUCAAGAUCUUCCUUUCAGC